GGCAUGACCCCAGUUCGGGCGGAGCCACCCGCUGAGUUUAAGCAUAUCWAUAAGCGGAU
rnacentral:rRNA from 1 species